UACGUAGGUGGCAAGCGUUACUCGGAAUCACUAGGCGUAAAGCGCAGGUAGGCGGUUCGGUAAGUCUUUUGUGAAAGCUCCCGGCUCAACUGGGAGAGGUCAAAGGAAACUCCGGGCUAGAGUGUGGUAGGGGGAAACUGGAAUUCCUGGUGUAGCGGUGAAAUGCGUAGAGUAUCAAGGAGGAACACCUAUGGCGAAAGCAGGUUUCUGGGCCAUCAUGACGCUGAGCUGCGAAAGCUAGGGGAGCAAACAGG
rnacentral:rRNA from 1 species